GAGCAAUGAUGAUAAGUUUUACUACUGAUUUCUUUGUAACUAUGAAUUUUUCUACACUUGACCUGAGCUCA
rnacentral:snoRNA from 1 species